AUGAGUGUGGAUUCAGCUUGUUCACAAAGCCUGCCUUUCUCUGAAGCAUCCGACUGUAAAGACUUUUCACCUACACCUGUAAUUUGUGGGCCUGAAGAAAACUAUCCAUCCUUGCAAAUGUCUUCUGCUGAGAUGCCUCACACAGAGACUGUCUCUCCUCUUCCUUCCUCCAUGGAUCUGCUUAUUCAGGACAGCCCUGAUUCUUCCACCAGUCCCAAAGGCAAGCAACCCACUUCUGCAGAGAAGAGUGCCACAAAAAAGGAAAACAAGGUCCCAGUCAAGAAACAGAAGACCAGAACUCUGUUCUCUUCCAACCAGCUGUGUGUACUCAAUGAUAGAUUGCAGAGACAGAAAUACUUCAGCCUCCAGCAGAUGCAAGAACUUUCCAACAUCCUGAACCUCAGCUACAAAGGUGAAGACCUGGUUCCAGAACCAGAGGAUGAAAUCUAAGAGGUGGCAGAAAAACGACUGGCCAAAAAAUAGCAAUGGUGUGACUCGGAAGGCCUCAGCACCUACUUACCCCAGUCUCUACUCUUCCUACCACCACGGAUGCCUGGUGAACACGACUGGAAACCUUCCAAUGUGGAGCAACCAAACCUAGAGCAAUUCAACCUGGAGCAACCACACCCGGAACAUCCAGUCCUGGAACACUCAGACCUGGUGCACCCAGUCCUGGAACAAUCAGGCCUGAAACACUUCCUUCUAUAACUGUGGAGAGGAAUCUCUGCAGUCCUGCAUGCAGUUCCAGCCAAAUUCUCCUGACUUGGAGGUUGCCUUGGAAACUGCUGGGGAAAGCCAUAAUGUAGUACAGCAGACCACUAGGUAUUUUAGUACUCCACAAGCCAUAGAUUUAUUCCUAAAGUACUCCACAAACAUGCAACCUUAAGAUGUGUGA
rnacentral:lncRNA from 1 species